rnacentral:lncRNA from 1 species
GCCGCGCUCACUCCUCCCCCUCCCGACCUGGCGGCCGCCUCCCUCUCUUAUCUCGCUCCCCGCUCUCCAGGGUCUCCUCGCUCUUCAUUCCUCUCGCGGCCUCCUCCCCUUUCCCUCACUCACCCUCUUUCCAAUUGAGGGAUCACAGACUCACUCCGGUUCUGCCAGGGGGACGACCCCCACCCCUCGCAAAACUCGACCACCUCUGACUUCAUGAAAUAUUCUUUCUGUUUGCCCCCCGCAGCAAGCCCCGCGUCCCAUCCCAGGACCCAGCCCCGCCCCUCCGCGCCCCCUUCCUCCUCCUGGCCCGCCGGGCCGAGUGGUGCUGCUGCGGGUGCGGCUGCUCGGAGCCUCCCUGGCCGCCCUCCCCAGGGCCGAUACUGACUCCAUCUGUCAACUUCGUUUAGACUUUGCCGCCCUCAGCCACACGCCGGGGUGCCAGACGCCCAAAGGCGCAAAGUUAAGUCGUGUAGAGGAUUCUCGAACUCCUGCGAGGCCUUUCUAAAUGUGGACGGCGAGAACUCAGUGCUGGGGCCUGGGGGUGUCAGCGUGAUUGAGGAAAUGCUGGAAGAGCACCAGCCUGCACGCUGCAGAGGCCUCUUUAGAAACUUCACAUAACAGCAGAAGAUGCGGACGGGAACAGCAAUAGGAGGACGCGCGGAGGCGGGGGUUGGAGAGAGCAAGGUGGCCGGGAGUGGGAAUUUCACACCUCUCCUGGAGUCUGCUCUCCUUCCUAGGUCCAGAAACCCCCAGACCUCCGGGCCUGAACACCAGCCACCCAGUUCCCAGUGUUUAUUUGGAUAGAGUCUUCCGCUCUCCAAAGGCUUGUGUCCCGGUCAGGGCUCUUUUUAUAGCCACCUUCAUGAGAGAUCUCCCAGUAGCCCCAGAUCUCCUGGCCUGGGCGGUGGGCACGACUCGAUGACCCACUGGCCAGGUCUGAGGGUGCUUGAAGGGGGAAAAAGGGGUCCAAUCUACGAGACCCUCAAGCGAAGACCGGCCUCACCCCAUUUCCGCACUUCCCAAAUUGCCGGGCGCGGGUCCCCUCGGUUGCGAGACCAAAACCUUGGGAUGAUCCCAGGAGCCAGCCCAGCGGCCUGCAGGCCCCGAUCCCAGUGCGCAGGCCGCGGUACCAGGCGGAGCACCUCUUCGACUUCGCCUACAGCCCGCUGCGUUUAGGGGUGGCGAGUUGCGGGGUUGCGGGGAGUGAGUGGAGAGCAGAGGCGGCCCGCUUUGUCCAAAAGGCAGAGAGAAGGGGCUUAGGUUGGAACAGAGUCGGUCUGCGUCUCCCAACGGGGGAAGAAGGGGGGGCACCCAGCGGCUAAAGAAAAUAAGUCAGGAAGCCUGUACCGCAAGUAUUCCUGGAAGCAAGUGUGGGUGCCGGUGGCCCUCAGCAUGUUAACUUUUCGCCCACUGAUGCUGCUGGAAGGGACGUCCCCAUGCUUUAGGUCGCAGGACAGAGCUUGCAGAUGCCUUGGAAACCGGUAGGAGCCAAGCUGCGUCCUGGGAGACCCCCGAGCUCUGCACACCUUCCCUCCGCCCUCCCGGCUGUGGCAACGCUCGGGGGUCGUUUAGGGGUCCGCGUGCCUUUUGCUCCGCGGCCCCCGGCCUCGGAUCCCCUCCUCCCGCCCGCCUUCCCAGGCUGGGGAGAAAGAUGGCUAGGCCGCGCACACACGCUGGGCAGGGUUGGAGGGGCCGCGGGGCCCACCCAGGAGGCGCCCGCGGGGCCUGAAGAGGUCACUCCGGGCACUGCACGCGGGAGGGUGCGCGCCGAGGGCUACGGAAGACACCAGCCAAAGGCGCCCGGAGGUCGCCAGGCCGCGCCUGCGAUGCCCUCCAACCGAGACCAGAGGCUGGCCGGCUGCGGCCGCGCGGGGAAGCGCCCUGGAGGUCCCAACCCAGCCCGGGCAGGGCUUUCUUCUCCCGUCUGGCUGGUCUCCUCCCCGCUGCCCUCCCUUCCCCCAAAUAAAUAAAUAUUUCCGAGGGCGGCGAACUCGGCGGGGCGCCGGGUCCUGAGCGCCUGGGCGAUAGAUGAACUUCCUGGCGCAUCAAAACUCCCCUCUCGUCCUCCCCGCCGAGCUCAGGAUAUGGGGCGCGCUCGCUUCUCUUCAGAAAAGGAAACGUAGCUCUUCCAAAAAUAUAAAUCAGCUCUGACGUCCAAA